rnacentral:lncRNA from 1 species
AAAAAAUAGUGACUACUCAUAGUCUAGUAAGAACUUCCAUGUGCAAGUAUCCUCUUCAAGGGGCCAAACAGAUCUCCAAAAUUCUCUCACCAUUCUUGGAAAUCCACAGUUCUGCAGGGUCUGGCCCCUACCAGCUUUCUCCGGCCCUGCACCCCAGUUAUGCUGUCUCAGGGCACUGGGCUUUUGCAUAUGCUGCUUCUUCUGCCUGUUAACUUAGUUAACUCCUAUCAUCCUUCAAUUCUAAACCUAAGCACUACUUCCUCAGGGAACCUUUUCUGACCCCCAAACAGGUCAUGCCCCUCUGUUAUACAUUCUCCCAAAUCUUUUGUAACACCAUCGGAGACAAUUUUACAUUUAUUUGUGUGAAUAUUUGUUUAAUGUUUGCCUCUCUCUUUAGAUGUGGAGCUCUAAGAAGGCAAGUCUUUAUCUGGUUUUGCUCACCACUCAAUCCUCACUGCUCAGCACUGCACUUGGCUUAUAAUCAGUGCUCAACAAAUGACAACAGAUUGAAUGAAGAGCUAAACAGUUUGUAUGAUUCCAUAGAAGAACCCAGGAAUAAACCCCCCAAACCCAGGAUGGACUCAGAUGGGUCACAGAUCAGCUUCUCCCAAUCCAGGACCCAACCCCACUGACCUCACCGAUAUCUGCUUCCCGACCACAGUGAAUUCUCCUCUGAGUAAAACCUGCUCAGAAUUUAAUCUAGUCAUUUAUCAACUCCUCCCCACAAAAAAAAAUUAUUCCGCCACCCACCCGUGGCCCAGGGUCCAGUCACCCUCGGCUCACCCUUAAAGAGAGGUAGAAGACAGGGUGGGAAGGAGGCAGAGAGUUGGAGACCCUGGGCUUGGGGAAAAGGGGGACAGGCUGUAGAAGUGCCUAGGGAUGGGGUUGGGGGCCUGAGGGAUGGAGGAAUUGGAGCUCCCCAGUUACAAAAAUUCUUAGCGCACGCCUGCAAACCUCACCUCGAAAGCUGAGCCUCACUUGUCGGUCAUGGGUUCCUGGUAGCCCUGUCAGUCGUCGCACACACAUGGUCAGAGCCAUUGUCCCAGGGCCACUGGUGCUACCUCUGCCCGCCUGCCCUCCUGCCCACCUGCCCACCUGCCCACCCACCUGAAUCGCCUCUGACUCACUGGACUCACCCAGCAGGUUCAGCAAUCCCUGCCCUUUAGACAAACACGAAAUCCACAGGCCUGGGGGUCAUGGGU